rnacentral:lncRNA from 1 species
AUGAAAUGCUGCCUUGUGCGGGGCCCCGUGGCUGUAGGUAGCUCAUGGGUGGCGUCUGAGUGCAGACUUCCUUGGGCAUUGUUUAAAUGUGAACUUAUCUUUUGUUACUGGAUUUUUGUGCAGGCAAGAGAAGGGAGUUGUAAACCUUCCUGUGAUAGCUGCUCCAAUAAGAUGAUCCCUUUUGGCAGCAUGCUGCAUGCUUCAGCAAACAAAGUGAGUCUCUUCAGAGCUAACAUUAUCCUCGUCCUUGGAUGGAAGAGUACAGACAAUGGUAAGACAGAACUAGAAAUAAACAAGCACCCAUCACAGAUGCUCACCAGCCUCAUAUUUCCAUCAGCAUGCUGCAGAAAGCAAAAGCAGUUAAUAGAAACCUGGGUGUAAUUAUUUACCGAGUGGUUUGCAGCACAUCCGUGCCCACUGUGUUUGUAAACUGGCCAACAUUUUGACUCACGUAGGGGAAACAUGCGAAAUGCUGGAUAUCUGUCACACAAAAACUCCAGUGUAAAUAAAUAAAGCUACGUAGGACGUCUCCCA